GAUGAACGCUGGCGGCGUGCCUAAUACAUGCAAGUCGAACGAAGCCUUCGGGCUUAGUGGCGGACGGGUGAGUAACACGUUGGUACCUGCCUCGAAGUGGGGAAUAACUGGCCGAAAGGUCGGCUAAUACCGCAUGUGGUCGCAAGAUCAAAGUCGUAAGACGCUUCGAGAGGGGCCUGCGUCCCAUUAGCUAGUUGGUAGGGUAAUGGCCUACCAAGGCGACGAUGGGUAGCUGGAUCGAGAGGUUGACCAGCCACACUGGGACUGAGAUACGGCCCAGACUCCUACGGGAGGCAGCAGUAAGGAAUCUUCCACAAUGGACGAAAGUCUGAUGGAGCAACGCCGCGUGCAGGAUGACGGCCUUCGGGUUGUAAACUGCUUUUAUAUGGGAAGAUUAUGACGGUACCAUAUGAAUAAGGACCGGCUAACUACGUGCCAGCAGCCGCCGCCG
rnacentral:rRNA from 1 species